rnacentral:lncRNA from 1 species
CCUGGUUGUGAGCCACUGUGAUAGUGGAAGGAUCACUGGGCCGCAAGAUUGUAGGCAGGUCUGGAGCCUCUCACCUCCCGCAUCUCCUGGGGCCCCACAGCAACAUGCUUGUUCCUCCUCCAGAUUAAAUGCUGCUGCACCCAACGAGCUGCUCCCGCCGAAGUGGGAAAGCGAGAUUCGAUUAGUAUGGAUUCUGGAGUCGGCAGGAGCCACCGGUGGCAUAGAGCAGAGCUGUGACGACUUCCAGACCAAACUUCAGUGGCAGACUCCUGCCAGCCGCUGAGUGGAAGGAGACAUUCUGAGCUUUCAACUUGACAAUGAAUUACUUCUCUCGAGUCCCAUAAGCAUCUGUGCCCAGGCGCCACAUUGGAAAUGACAAGGGAGAAAUUGUUGGAAUGUGAAGAAACAGCUCUGUCAGGAGCUCUGAAUAGAUUUCAUAUUUACUCAGAAGAGACGAUCUUAAACCCGAGGACACUGCAAUCGAUGAGAAUGGGACCCUCGGGAGAGA